rnacentral:ncRNA from 2 species
CUCUUAUCCCGAGCUGGUGGAGGGUCAAGGCCCUGUGAAGCCCGGCAACCUGCAUUUUACUAUUUCUAAUAGUAAUAAUAGCGAUGGUGCCAACCUGAUGCAAGGGAAAUUUCCCUUGAACGAUAAGAG